rnacentral:lncRNA from 1 species
UUUCUCUCUCCUGUCUCUUCGCCCCGAUUCUCUCUCUCUCUCGAUUCUCUCUUCGCCCCCGAUUCUCUCUCCCUUCUUUUCUCUGAUCUACCAACUUCUGAUUGAAAUUGUUUUUGAUAUGAUGUUCCAUGGAAUCUGUUGUUGAAAAAUUCCUUUCUUCUUUUAUUUUCAAAACCCACAAAUUUGCAAGACAAAUCUGUUGAUAUUCAAAUCUCUUUCCUAAAUUUUUUUUCGAAUCCAUUUUUUUUGGCUCAAUCUGUUAUAUAAAAUCUCAGAUCUGAUAAUUUUUUAAAAUUUCACUGGUUAAUUAGCUUGUGAUCCUCAAAAAUUUUUAUUCUAUCGAUUUGGUUAAUUGAAUGUUUUUUAAUUUAUGUCUUCCCAAUUUUUUUUUUAAAAAAAACCUAAACUUCCUUAGCCAUGAUCAGUAAAUUUUUUUCUUCUGUAAGAUCUAUUCAAGCUAAUGUGUUUUAAGUUUUACCUUUAUCAAUUUCAUUACGAAAAUCUUCUUUCGUCUAAAUCGCACAUCUUUACAGAUCGAAAAGUGUGAUAUUUUAUUAAAUCUAUUCAUAUAUUUUUAUUUAAAAAAAAUUUCAACUCAAAUUCUUUAAAAUCUGCAUCUAUUCUAUUCCAAAUUUUUUUUUUUACUCAGAUCUAUACUUUAAUCUUUUAACUCUAAAGCGUCAUAUAUACUUAUUGUCCAUAUCUAAAAAAGUGUCUUCCAAAAAUCUUACAUAUUUUUAAAAGAUUAAUUUUUUUAUAUAUACAUAGCUCUUUAAAAUUAUUUUUACCAAAUAAGCUAUAUAUAUUUAUCUAUGUACUACUGCAUGUAAGAAUGAGCUUCUCUUUGAUGAGAAAUAGCAAAAGGCUAUGCAUGCAACAUGAUUAUUUUUCUUCUGACUUCUGUAUCUAUGUUACGUGCAACUGGUAUAUCUUAUGCUUAUUAUACUUGCUUAGGUAAAACCUUCUAUACAUCUCUUUAUUUGAAGUAUAGCCAUUGUUGUUUACUGAAGUCAUAUCAUAUGCAUUUUGUGCGGAUACGGAUGUCCACAGGCUUACUUUUGUUGUUCUUUAGUUUAUUCAUAAGGCACAGGUCUGAUUUCCAAUGUUUGUUGUAUCCUACUAAGUUCUGCUAUAAAUGAUGGAUAUUACAUAUUACCUGUUUCUCUGAAAUAUUAUAAUAUAUAUAGCUUUAUCCUCUAGUAUGACUAAUUUGCAUUAAUUGUUGUGAUAUAAAUACCUAGUUGAGCCUGAUACCUACCUCUUUGAUAUAAUCAUUUGUCGUGUUAUAUUAAGGAAUGCUAUAAAUGAUGAACACUGCUGAAUAUUUUUAACCAUAUACUAUCUUUUGAGAAACUGACUUCUUUGAAUAUGACCAUUUCUUUAUACUAUAUUUUUAUAUUCCAUACUUGACAUGUGGUAAAUUAAGUAAUUUGUUUAUUGAAUCUUUUUUUUUACCCUCUUACAUAUAAGUUUUGAAAGCAUCCAAUUCACUAUUCAAACUAAAUAUUUUCUGCUAUUUGUCUACAAUUCACAAUAUGGGUCUCUUACUUGUGAAUCUUGUAAGGUUUUGUGAAGAUCAAAGUAACAAUCAUAUUGCAAAAUCAGCGGAAGUAAAAUAAAAUAAAAUUUUAAAAUUUUUCACAAACCAAUUAUCCGGAUCAUCCUUUAUGCAUAUUAUUAAUUAAAACGAAGAACAAGAAGUUAUGGAAUCAUACCCUUGUAGAUACGAGCUUCCACAGGUACGAGUUCAUCUCCUACUUCUCCGUGGUCUCUUUAAAUCUCUGGGUUAGAUUCCUUUCCUUUGAUCAAUGUUAGCCACCCAAGUGUAUGGUCUCUAGAGGUGAUUCACCAAGGAAAAAGAAUUUUCAAGAAGAAUGGUGUAUUGGCUAAAACCUAUUUUUUCUUAUCUCUAUAGAAAAAAGGGGAGUACUCUCCAUCUAUUAGAAUCACGUAUAUUUGAUAUCUGAUAUAAAACUUCUCAGGUUACCCUAUUUAAUUAAAAU